UGGGGAAUAUUGCACAAUGGGCGCAAGCCUGAUGCAGCCAUGCCGCGUGUAUGAAGAAGGCCUUCGGGUUGUAAAGUACUUUCAGCGGGGAGGAAGGCGAUAAGGUUAAUGACCUUGUCGAUUGACGUUACCCGCAGAAGAAGCACCGGCUAACUCCGUGCCAGCAGCCGCGGUAAUACGGAGGGUGCAAGCGUUAAUCGGAAUUACUGGGCGUAAAGCGCACGCAGGCGGUCUGUCAAGUCGGAUGUGAAAUCCCCGGGCUCAACCUGGGAACUGCAUUCGAAACUGGCAGGCUAGAGUCUUGUAGAGGGGGGUAGAAUUCCAGGUGUAGCGGUGAAAUGCGUAGAGAUCUGGAGGAAUACCGGUGGCGGAGGCGGCCCCCUGGACAAAGACUGACGCUCAGGUGCGAAAGCGUGGGGAGCAAACA
rnacentral:rRNA from 1 species